rnacentral:rRNA from 1 species
UACGUAGGCAGCAAGCGUUGUUCGGAGUUACUGGGCGUAAAGGGUGCGUAGGUGGCUCUAUAAGUAUGGUGUGAAAAUCUCCCGGCUUAACUGGGAGGGUGCGCCGUAGACUGUGGGGCUAGAGUGUGGGAGAGGUAAGCGGAAUUCCUGGUGUAGCGGUGAAAUGCGUAGAUAUCAGGAGGAACACCUGCGGUGUAGACGGCUUACUGGACGGUAACUGACGCUGAGGCACGAAAGCGUGGGUAGCAAACAGG